AGUGAACGCUGGCGGUAGGCCUAACACAUGCAAGUCGAACGGCAGCACAGUAAGAGCUUGCUCUUACGGGUGGCGAGUGGCGGACGGGUGAGGAAUACAUCGGAAUCUACUUUUUCGUGGGGGAUAACGUAGGGACACUUACGCUAAUACCGCAUACGACCUACGGGUGAAAGCAGGGGAUCUUCGGACCUUGCGCGAUUGAAUGAGCUGAUGUCGGAUUAGCUAGUUGGCGGGGUAAAGGCCCACCAAGGCGACGAUCCGUAGCUGGUCUGAGAGGAUGAUCAGCCACACUGGAACUGAGACACGGUCCAGACUCCUACGGGAGGCAGCAGUGGGGAAUAUUGGACAAAGGGCGCAAGCCUGAUCCAGCCAUGCCGCGUGGGUGAAGAAGGCCUUCGGGUUGUAAAGCCCUUUUGUUGGGAAAGAAAAGCAGCAGGUUAAUACCCCGCUGUUCUGACGGUACCCAAAGAAUAAGCACCGGCUAACUUCGUG
rnacentral:rRNA from 1 species